UAGCUACCAAGCCGGCUGCAGCCAGGGACCGGUAAAUCACAUUAUUGAGGGCCGCAUGGCGUGGCAGACGGCUGGGGUUGCGAGGACAGGAGAGGCUGUGGAGGCCUAAGGCGUCCGCCAUGGCCUCACAGCGGCAGCGAUGAGGUUGCUGGACGCGGGUGCCAGGCCUUAAUGCUAUGCCGACUUGGACCGCGAAGUUGGGUAAGAGGAGACCAAGGCAUUCCACUGGGAUGGCUGACAGCCAAGCACCACUGUGUGGUGCAGUGGCAGCAAGGAGACGCGCUCUGUCAAUCUGGCUAGUGUGAGCCAGCAAGUUGCCCAGGCGAUGUUUUAAGGCUGCCUCGUCCAGAGUCCAUGGUGUAAGAGCAAGAUGCUGUCACUGAGAAUUUCUUUGCUCUUGUCUUGAUGAAUUGACCACAUAUGUAGCAGACUGCAUGCCAGGGGCGGCUGGUCCAUAAGGGCUGGUGGGCUGCAGAUCUUCCUGUCUCAGCCUUGCCAUGCAGGACACAGACAGCUCCAGGCACUGAGUCAUGACAAAAGUACUGUGGUGUCCACUACUGCUGCUGCUCACACUAAGCCCUGGCCUCCCCAAGUUCCAUCCAGGGACAGGAUUGCAGUGAUGGUGACAUAGUUGUGAAGGAUGGACAGAGAGAAGUCACCUAUAGCACAGACACUGAAUUGACUCUUUGUGAAUCCUCAGUGUGGCUUCAAUGGCUUAUUUAUUAAAGUACAGGGGACAAAUGGUUUUCAACAAACUACUUGGUUCCCUGAGCAAGGUGAGUGUUUCCAAGAGAAUGAUUCAUGGUAAUGACUAUUGGUAGGGGCAAAGGAAAUGAAAGACAACACGAGUCUUUAUCUUACUUAUAUAGAGAUACAUUCAUGUUUGAUGAAAUGCACAAAUCACAAUCCUCCAUAAGGCCUGCUGAGCUUAAGUGUUGUAGCUUAUGCUCCCUCCAGGUGGAUACUUGAAAGGAGCAUACAGCUAGUGCAACACAUCACCCAUCUGAGUUCUUUCCCCCGGGAUGCCACAACUCCCAGGUGCACUGAAAACCCACCAUCUCUAUCUUCCUCUAACAGUAUGUUUUGUACUAGUGUAUUUAUCAUCGCUGGGCUAUUAUUGCUGUUAGAACUAUUAUUUUGAGAGAUUUCAGUGACAAUUCAUACAGUCAUUGCAAGAAACCAAAGUGGCUCCCUUUUAUAUUACUAUGAUAAUCUUGGAAUUUUCAUCAAAUUUUUUACACUUUCUGCAUCUAUGCGUCACUAUUUAAUUUAAUUUAAUUAAUUAAUUAGUUAAUUAAUUAAUUUAUUUAUUUAUAUGUUUUUUUAUGGAUGGGUCUGUUUAAGAGUAUUUUCCUAUCCUUAGGAUAGGAAAAGUUCUUAAUAUUCUUUGCUUCUUGUUUUCUUUGAAUAAAAAAUAUAUUAAUUACAAGUGGAGUUAAGUAUGAUCAGUUUGGUGGAUCAUGCAUAUGAACAGCCCAUUCUAGCCUGCCAUAGCCUUGCUGGACCUGGUACAACUGUUAUGCUAUCUGCAAGCUUAAACAUCUCUGGAACUACACAGAUGAUUGCAACAAAAGUCACUUAUCAUUGUUAGCACAACUUUUUAUGUGAUACAGGUUUCAUCACUUCUGCUAGGUGAACUUGAUGGGAUGGUGUCUUUGCAUAUGGCUUCUAAAUAACUAUUCAACCAAUUUUGUUAAAACUUAUAUCAUAUAUUCCUCAUAUGCAUGUCAAAUCUGGAUUUGCACUAUGCAUGCACAGACACUUCAUAGCAACUCAAACUAAUUAAUAAAUUGAAAUUUAGUAAGGAAUAUGGACCAACAAUGCUUACAUGAAUGAGCAUUCAUAUUUCGUCUGCAUAUGUGCAAAUCACAAGAUAACAUUAAAAAAAAAAUCAUGGUCAGUUUCUGCAAUAUCAAUGCAAUAGAUUUUGCCUUAGUGAGGCCAGAGAUGUUCAGUUGCCCCUACUAAUUUAUCCCUCCCUUGGAAGCUGGAGUCAAGGCCACACACAGUUUUGGAUGUUUGCUUGAAGAAGCCAUCCUCUCUGCCGCCCCUAAUACAUGGUUGUUUGAAUUGUUUCAAACAAAAUUUAUGCCAGAGAAAUGGUGGUGCGUAAACAUAGGAGUGGCUUGUUCGAGUAAAUGCCCAGAACUUACUGGCUUUGACUCUGGCUUCCAAGUCGGGGAGAAAUUUGUAGGCAUGACUAACAUUAGAUGCAAAGUUGAAUUCUCUAUAAAAUGCUUCAUAGAGCAGAACUGUAUUUCUUGCAAAGUUCUGAUUUUACUUUUAUAUAAGGUGAGUUACAGGGAGAUGGAUUUAAUUGUUAUGCUGGGUGUCUGCAAGUGUCACUCUUUAAACUCACCUCUUUUGCAUUUCAUUUGCAUAUAUUGUUUAUUAAACAUAUCUUCACCAUAGUAUAACUCUCAAGCUUCAAAGAGAGAUGACAAUGAAUCUUCUAUGAUCAAUAGUAAGUGUGCUAUCAGUGAUAUAAUAAAUAAAGAUGAGAUCAGUAUUUGGGAAUUCUCACCCAUUAAAUGUGAUCUUAUUGAGAAUAAACUCAUACCAUUAGAUGCAGAAUUAAAUAUAUUGAUGACUGAUAUGUAUAACAGACCAUUGACUCGGAAAAGUUUUUGAGUUACAGCGAGUUGAAAUUGUUAGUUGUCUGGCAAGGUGAUACUAAAUCCUCUUGGUGGGUGUUCUACGUGGGUGGCUAGUGGCACAAAUUCAUUCAAGGGUGUUUUACUGGUUUUAACUAGGUCCACUGAUAUUCUGUGCAUCCAUUUAAAUUAUUUUAAAUUCAUUCAGGCCUGUAUAUAUUAUUAACAAAGUGUUAUUGAUCCAAUAAAACUGUCUUAUUCUCUUUGUAAAA